rnacentral:rRNA from 1 species
UACGUAGGUGGCAAGCGUUGUCCGGAUUUACUGGGCGUAAAGAGCGCGCAGGCGGUUGUGCAAGUCGCGUGUGAAAGCCCCCGGCUCAACUGGGGAGGGUCACGCGAUACUGUUCGACUUGAAGGCAGGAGAGGGAAGUGGAAUUCCCGGUGUAGUGGUGAAAUGCGUAGAUAUCGGGAGGAACACCAGUGGCGAAGGCGACUUCCUGGCCUGUUCUUGACGCUGAGGCGCGAAAGCUAGGGGAGCAAACGGG